GAAUCUUCCGCAAUGGACGAAAGUCUUUGACGGAGCAACGCCGCGUGAGUGAUGAAGGUUUUCGGAUCGUAAAACUCUGUUGUUAGGGAACAAGUAYCGUUCGAAUAGGGCGGUACCUUGACGGUACCUAACCAGAAAGCCACGGCUAACUACGUGCCAGCAGCCGCGGUAAUACGUAGGUGGCAAGCGUUGUCCGGAAUUAUUGGGUAAAGCGCGCGCAGGCGGUUUCUUAAGUCUGAUGUGAAAGCCCACGGCUC
rnacentral:rRNA from 1 species